rnacentral:tRNA from 1 species
UUUCAAGUGGCUACUGCCAUAAUUGAAUUCUAAUUUCAAUGCACUUUAUCUGCCAACCUGAA